UUUCCUACGGGGCGCAGCAGUGGGGAAUAUUGCACAAUGGGGGAAACCCUGAUGCAGCGACGCCGCGUGAGUGAAGAAGUAAUUCGUUAUGUAAAGCUCUAUCAGCAGGGAAGAAAAUGACGGUACCUGAGUAAGAAGCCCCGGCUAACUACGUGCCAGCAGCCGCGGUAAUACGUAGGGGGCAAGCGUUAUCCGGAUUUACUGGGUGUAAAGGGAGCGUAGACGGCAGUGCAAGUCUGGAGUGAAAGGCGGGGGCUCAA
rnacentral:rRNA from 1 species